rnacentral:sRNA from 1 species
AUGCACCUGGCAUAUCGAGCCGGGAAUCCC